AAAUGAAUAGACGGGGACCCGCACAAGCGGUGGAUGAUGUGGAUUAAUUCGAUGCAACGCGAAAAACCUUACCUGCGCUUGACAUGCCAGGAACCCUCCAGAGAUGGAGGGGUGCCCGAAAGGGAGCCUGGACACAGGUGCUGCAUGGCUGUCGUCAGCUCGUGUCGUGAGAUGUUGGGUUAAGUCCCGCAACGAGCGCAACCCUUAUCCUUAGUUGCUACGCAAGGGCACUCUAGGGAGACUGCCGGUGACAAACCGGAGGAAGGUGGGGAUGACGUCAAGUCCUCAUGGCCCUUAUGCGCAGGGCUUCACACGUCAUACAAUGGUCGGUACAGAGGGCAGCCAACCCGCGAGGGGGAGCCAAUCCCAGAAAACCGAUCGUAGUCCGGAUUGCAGUCUGCAACUCGACUGCAUGAAGUCGGAAUCGCUAGUAAUCGCGGAUCAGAAUGUCGCGGUGAAUACGUUCCCGGGUCUUGUACACACCGCCCGU
rnacentral:rRNA from 1 species